UGGGGAAUCUUGCACAAUGGGGGCAACCCUGAUGCAGCGACGCCGCGUGAGCGAUGAAGCCCUUCGGGGCGUAAAGCUCUUUCGACCGGAACGAUAAUGACGGUACCGGGAGAAGAAGCUCCGGCUAACUACGUGCCAGCAGCCGCGGUAAUACGUGGGGAGCAAGCGUUGUUCGGAUUUACUGGGCGUAAAGGGCGCGUAGGCGGCGCGGUAAGUCACUUGUGAAAUCUCUGAGCUUAACUCAGAACGGCCAAGUGAUACUGCUGUGCUAGAGUGCGGAAGAGGCAACCGGAAUUCUUGGUGUAGCGGUGAAAUGCGUAGAUAUCAAGAGGAACACCUGAGGCGAAGGCGGGUUGCUGGGCCGACACUGACGCUGAUGCGCGAAAGCCAGGGGAGCAAACG
rnacentral:rRNA from 1 species